UACGUAGGGUCCGAGCGUUGUCCGGAAUUACUGGGCGUAAAGAGCUCGUAGGCGGUUUGUCGCGUCGAAUGUGAAAACCCGGGGCUCAACCCCGGGCCUGCAUUCGAUACGGGCAGACUAGAGUUCGGUAGGGGAGUCUGGAAUUCCUGGUGUAGCGGUGAAAUGCGCAGAUAUCAGGAGGAACACCGGUGGCGAAGGCGGGUCUCUGGGCAGUAACUGACGCUGAGGAGCGAAAGCGUGGGGAGCGAACAGG
rnacentral:rRNA from 1 species